AUACGUAGGGUGCAAGCGUUAUCCGGAAUUAUUGGGCGUAAAGGGCUCGUAGGCGGUUCGUCGCGUCCGGUGUGAAAGUCCAUCGCUUAACGGUGGAUCCGCGCCGGGUACGGGCGGGCUUGAGUGCGGUAGGGGAGACUGGAAUUCCCGGUGUAACGGUGGAAUGUGUAGAUAUCGGGAAGAACACCAAUGGCGAAGGCAGGUCUCUGGGCCGUUACUGACGCUGAGGAGCGAAAGCGUGGGGAGCGAACAGGAUUAGAUACCCUGGUAGUCCACGCCGUAAACGGUGGAUGCUGGAUGUGGGGCCCGUUCCACGGGUUCCGUGUCGGAGCUAACGCGUUAAGCAUCCCGCCUGGGGAGUACGGCCGCAAGGCUAAAACUCAAAGAAAUUGACGGGGGCCCGCACAAGCGGCGGAGCAUGCGGAUUAAUUCGAUGCAACGCGAAGAACCUUACCUGGGCUUGACAUGUUCCCGACGGUCGUAGAGAUACGGCUUCCCUUCGGGGCGGGUUCACAGGUGGUGCAUGGUCGUCGUCAGCUCGUGUCGUGAGAUGUUGGGUUAAGUCCCGCAACGAGCGCAACCCUCGCCCCGUGUUGCCAGCGGAUUAUGCCGGGAACUCACGGGGGACCGCCGGGGUUAACUCGGAGGAAGGUGGGGAUGACGUCAGAUCAUCAUGCCCCUUACGUCCAGGGCUUCACGCAUGCUACAAUGGCCGGUACAACGGGAUGCGACGCGGCGACGCGGAGCGGAUCCCUGAAAACCGGUCUCAGUUCGGAUCGCAGUCUGCAACUCGACUGCGUGAAGGCGGAGUCGCUAGUAAUCGCGAAUCAGCAACGUCGCGGUGAAUGCGUUCCCGGGCCUUGUACACACCGCCCGUCAAGUCAUGAAAGUGGGCAGCACCCGAAGCCGGUGGCCUAACCCCUUGUGGGAUGGAGCCGUCUAAGGUGAGGCUCGUGAUUGGGACU
rnacentral:rRNA from 1 species